CCUUUUAAAUAGGGGUAAGGAUUGAAUCUUAUUCAAUCUCAUAAUACAGUCCUAGUUGCAUUGGAUUUUCUAUUAACUUAAGUUAUCCAAUUUACUUUAGGGGACCCUUUAGGUGCCAACAAUUAGAGCCCUUGCACCCAUAAUUAGACACCCCAAAAUAUAUCCAAGAGAUGUCCCAUAGGAGAACUAAAAGCCCUCUAAUCAAUGGACAUGCUCAACUUGAUCAAAUUAAGGUGGCACCCA
rnacentral:lncRNA from 1 species